AUUGAACGCUGGCGGCAGGCCUAACACAUGCAAGUCGAGCGGAUGAAGGGAGCUUGCUCCUGGACUCAGCGGCGGACGGGUGAGUAAUGCCUAGGAAUCUGCCUGGUAGUGGGGGAUAACGUCCGGAAACGGGCGCUAAUACCGCAUACGUCCUGAGGGAGAAAGUGGGGGAUCUUCGGACCUCACGCUAUCAGAUGAGCCUAGGUCGGAUUAGCUAGUUGGUGGGGUAAAGGCCUACCAAGGCGACGAUCCGUAACUGGUCUGAGAGGAUGAUCAGUCACACUGGAACUGAGACACGGUCCAGACUCCUACGGGAGGCAGCAGUGGGGAAUAUUGGACAAUGGGCGAAAGCCUGAUCCAGCCAUGCCGCGUGUGUGAAGAAGGUCUUCGGAUUGUAAAGCACUUUAAGUUGGGAGGAAGGGCAGUAAGUUAAUACCUUGCUGUUUUGACGUUACCAACAGAAUAAGCACGGGCUAACUUCGUG
rnacentral:rRNA from 1 species